UCCCUGGUGUCUCAGCUGGUAAAGAACCUGCCCGUAAUGCAGGAGACCUGGGUUUGAUCCCUGGGUUGGGAA
rnacentral:tRNA from 1 species